rnacentral:misc_RNA from 1 species
GAUGAAGAACGUAGCGAAAUGUGAUAAGUAAUGUGAAUUGCAGAAUUCAGUGAAUCAUCGAAUCUUUGAACGCACAUUGCGCCCCUUGGUAUCCCGAGGGGCAUGCCUGUUCGAGCGUCAUUUCACCACUCAAGCCUGGCUUGGUGUUGGGCGACGUCCCCUUUGGGGACGCGCCUCGAAACGCUCGGCGGCGUGGCACCGGCUUUAAGCGUAGCAGAAUCUUUCGCUUUGGAAGUCGGGGCCCCGUCUGCCGGAAGACCUACUCGCAAGGUUGACCUCGGAUCAGGCAGGGAUACCCGCUGAACUUAAGCAUAUCAAUAAGCGGAGGA